rnacentral:rRNA from 1 species
AGAGUUUGAUCAUGGCUCAGAACGAACGCUGGCGGCAGGCUUAACACAUGCAAGUCGAACGCAUGCCUUCGGGCAUGAGUGGCAGACGGGUGAGUAACGCGUGGGAACCUACCCCUUGGUACGGGAUAGCUCCGGGAAACUGGAGAUAAUACCGUAUGUGUCCUGAGGGACAAAGAUUCAUCGCCAAGGGAUGGGCCCGCGUCGGAUUAGCUAGUUGGUGGGGUAACGGCCUACCAAGGCGACGAUCCGUAGCUGGUCUAAGAGGAUGAUCAGCCACAUUGGGACUGAGACACGGCCCAAACUCCUACGGGAGGCAGCAGUGGGGAAUAUUGGACAAUGGGCGCAAGCCUGAUCCAGCCAUGCCGCGUGAGUGAUGAAGGCCCUAGGGUUGUAAAGCUCUUUCACCGGUGACGAUAAUGACGGUAACCGGAGAAGAAGCCCCGGCUAACUUCGUGCCAGCAGCCGCGGUAAUACGAAGGGGGCUAGCGUUGUUCGGAAUUACUGGGCGUAAAGCGCACGUAGGCGGAUAUUUAAGUCAGGGGUGAAAUCCCGGGGCUCAACCCCGGAACGGCCUUUGAUACUGGAUGUCUUGAGUCCGGAAGAGGUGAGUGGAAUUGCGAGUGUAGAGGUGAAAUUCGUAGAUAUUCGCAGGAACACCAGUGGCGAAGGCGGCUCACUGGUCCGGAACUGACGCUGAGGUGCGAAAGCGUGGGGAGCAAACAUGAUUAGAUACCCUGGUAGUCCACGCCGUAAACGAUGGAAGCUAGCCGUUGGGCGAUUUAUCGCUCGGGUGGCGCAGUUUAACGCAUUAAGCUUCCCGCCUGGGGAGUACGGUCGCAAGAUUAAAACUCAAAGGAAUUGACGG